rnacentral:pre_miRNA from 1 species
UCAAGAUGACGCCAUUGACUUUAACGUUUCGGUUUGACCAUUCGUCUUAUUCAAAAUAAUAUGUAAUUAUUAAUUAUUUUAUUAUAAUUUGAUUUAUUAUUAUAGAAACUUUAAGUAUGACUUAUAAUUUUAUAUAUUUGGAUAAAAUCUUUGAAUAAGACAAACGGUCAAAUAUAGAUUCGAAAGUCAAUAGCCACAUAUAGA